UACCGGUCCCCUCGCGACGAUAAACUGUGAACCCAGUCAGGCCCGGAAGGGAGCAGCUGCAGCAGUGGACUCGGGUGCCGGGGUGUGGCGGGUGUAG
rnacentral:SRP_RNA from 1 species